AUGCAUUUUUUUUACUUAUAAAGCGAACAUAAAUAGUCUAUUUAUUACAUGAAACAUAAGAAAAAUAUGGCUCAAACUCUCAUAUCUGUUUUUGCUUUGAUCUUAAUUCUUUCUCCAUUUCUUGUUGUAACCGAUCGGGAUCCCAUUUACUGCAAAUCUGAUGCAGAUUGUCCAAAAGAGUCAUAUCCUUUGUUUGUGAAGUGCGUUGAUAACUUUUGCGACUUCAUAAUUGUAUAAAAAUUAAGAUUAAAAAUAAUUAUAUCACCUUUAAAUGUAUAAUUCUAUGUGUACUUCAUAAUGUUAUAAUUUUAUAAUUUACUUUAAAUUUUUAUUAAAUUUUUUGGCCUUUAAUAUUUUAUGAACAAGAUUAAAAGUGCAUAAUUAAAUUAUAUAUGCAA